UCCCUGGUGGCUCAGAUGGUAAAGAAUCUGUCUGCAAUGCAGGAGACCUGGGUUCGAUCCCUGGAUAUGGAA
rnacentral:tRNA from 1 species